rnacentral:rRNA from 1 species
UACGUAGGGGCGAGCGUUAUCCGGAAUUACUGGGCGUAAAGGGUGCGUAGGUGGUUUCUUAAGUCAGAGGUGAAAGGCUACGGCUCAACCGUAGUAAGCCUUUGAAACUGGGAAACUUGAGUGCAGGAGAGGAGAGUGGAAUUCCUAGUGUAGCGGUGAAAUGCGUAGAUAUUAGGAGGAACAUCAGUUGCGAAGGCGGGUCUCUGGACGAUAACUGACGCUGAGGCGCGAAAGCGUGGGGAGCAAACAGGAUUAGAUACCCUGGUAGUCCCUGAG